rnacentral:misc_RNA from 1 species
UGGAGCUUAAAGCCAUGUAACCAUAUUUUUUUUGUAUGUGAAAUAUAUGGUUUUGCAGUGUUAGUUUUUGCAGUUCCUUGCAAUUAUGCAUACAAGAGAGAAAUUAACUUUGUGUAUUUCUUUGUCUGUAUUAAUACGUGGCUACAUAUCAUAGUCUUAGGAGAAUUUAUAGUCUCUCAUAUCUUAAAUAGACAACAGCAUUUCCAAUAUAAGCUGCAUCAAAAAGAAAGAUAGCAAUGUUUAUCUGGAACUAUUACUAAGAUCUUAUUUAGCUAACAGAUGACGUCUUCAUGAGCUGCAAUCCUGCCGUUGCCUCUUAUGCAGGAAGAGGCAAACUGCAGUACAAUCAUCCACCUUGGAACCUGGAAACUUCUUCUUCCAUGUGGCUACAGCAGCCUCCACCACUGCCUUCGCUGCCGCUUGUUCGCUAUCUGCCGCCCACACAAUGGAUGCAACUUUAUUGUUACUAAGCACAUCCCACACCCCGUCAGUUGCUAGAAUGAUGAACUGGUCGGUAGGUGCUAAUCGGUGAUAAGAGAUCUCCGGUAAUGCAAUUAUUCCAUGGUUUUUGAGUAGGAAAUCUCCAAAAGCUCGAGACAUGGCUAGGCCUGGAGAGUCUUCAUGGGGUAGCCACACUCUAUGGAUGUGUGGUUCUUCCUUCAGGGCAAGCACUCUACCAUUACAAUUCCUUAUUCUAUCAGCUUCACUUGGUACAUUAGGCUUCAAAUCUGUGGUUAAUUGAACAAGCAUGAUUCCAUUCUCAUUGAUUGUACCCAACACUGCCCUUGAGUCUCCAAGAUUAGCUAUAACAAGAUCUUCUCCCUGUCUCACAACAACUACUGCUGUGGUUCCACUGCAAGAACAAUCUAAAUUCUCUUGAAGCUUGAGCUCCUUGUCCAUAGCCUUGAAGGCACUAACACAAGCUUCUUUCCAUAUAUAAAAAUUCUUGCUUGGUAAUGAAUCACCUUUAACUACUUCAUUUUUGCCAUCUGCAACUGUCUUCAUCUUAGCCAAGGCCUUCUUUUGGGUUAGUAACAGGGAUGGCAAGCAGUUUCUCACAAUCUUGCUCACUAUGUGGCCAUUCUUUCCAUGCCCAUCAAAAACUCCACAGAAAGCUCCAUCUUGGACACCAUAACCCUGAUGAAGAAUAGCAGCAUCUUGGUUUAACCCUUUGCUUCCUUCUCUGGAGCAAAGAGAACCAAGCCUCUCAGUUCCAUUAAAAGUAAUAUUUUCUUCCAAGUAUAUAAUAUUAUCAAGGCCAUCUUCUGCCAGAUAUAUCUCUGAAGAUGCAGAGGAUAUGCAGAUUCCCAUUUCAACUUGUACAAGUUUUCUUAUUUCUCCACCAACUUAUUAAACUCCAAUGACCAAUGAAUUAGUCUCCUUAAUCAUGAAUUUAAGGACCACAAGAUGCGCAUGUUAGCCAAGUAAUGAAUACAUUUAAGCUUAGAAAGUAGCUCCUAGUGAGCUGAAAGCACAACCUGCUUCAAUAAUUCACUGUUUUUUAAUGUUGUGUUUGUGUAUUAUUUUAGACUACCCCAAGAUUCACUUAAAGAGGCAUAUGAUGUGUAGGAUUAGCAUCUUAUUGUAAAA